rnacentral:rRNA from 1 species
UACGAAGGGGGCUAGCGUUGCUCGGAAUUACUGGGCGUAAAGCGCACGUAGGCGGAUCGUUAAGUCGGGGGUGAAAUCCUGGAGCUCAACUCCAGAACUGCCUUCGAUACUGGCGAUCUCGAGUUCGGGAGAGGUGAGUGGAACUGCGAGUGUAGAGGUGAAAUUCGUAGAUAUUCGCAAGAACACCAGUGGCGAAGGCGGCUCACUGGCCCGGUACUGACGCUGAGGUGCGAAAGCGUGGGGAGCAAACAGG